GCAGUGGAAAGGUAGUUCAACCAACAAAGCCAGCAAUAUCGGAAGAAAGCAGUGGAAAGGUAGUUCAACCAACAAAGCCAGCAAUAUCGGAAGAAAGCAGUGGAAAGGUAGUUCAACCAACAAAGCCAGCAAUAUCGGAAAAAAG
rnacentral:sRNA from 1 species